rnacentral:rRNA from 1 species
UGGGCAACCUGCCCCUAGCUCUGGGAUAACUGCGGGAAACUGUAGCUAAUACCGGACGUGACACGAGACUGCAUGGGUCUUCGUGUGGAAAGAUUUAUCGGCUAGGGAUGGGCCCGCGGUCUAUCAGCUUGUUGGUGGGGCAAUGGCUCACCAAGGCGACGAUCCUUAGCUGGUCUGAGAGGAUGAUCAGCCACACUGGGACUGAGACACGGCCCAGACUCCG